GCGGUGAGCAUGUGUUUAAUUCGAAGCAACGCGAAGAACCUUACCAGGUCUUGACAUCCCCUGACAACCCGAGAGACUCGGGCGUUCCCCUUCGGGGGACAGGGUGACAGGUGGUGCAUGGUUGUCGUCAGCUCGUGUCGUGAGAUGUUGGGUUAAGUCCCGCAACGAGCGCAACCCUCGACCUUAGUUGCCAGCAUUCAGUUGGGCACUCUAAGGUGACUGCCGGCUAAAAGUCGGAGGAAGUGGGGAUGACGUCAAAUCAUCAUGCCCCUUAUGACCUGGGCUACACACGUGCUACAAUGGGCGGUACAAAGGGUCGCGAACCCGCGAGGGGGAGCCAAUCCCAAAAAGCCGCUCUCAGUUCGGAUUGCAGGCUGCAACUCGCCUGCAUGAAGCCGGAAUCGCUAGUAAUCGCGGAUCAGCAUGCCGCGGUGAAUACGUUCCCGGGCCUU
rnacentral:rRNA from 1 species